GUCGAAGAGAUUUCUAAAGCACAAUUAAUGAUCGUAUGGAAUGAGAAAUCGAGCUUUGUGUUAUUACUAUAGGAUUAGUUUUUAGUUCCUGAAAGCUGGUCUAUUUAUGGGUAUCUAAGAUGGAAUUAAACUCUGAAAAGGUUAAUAUUUUUUUAAAAAACUGUUCUGUUGAAGGUCUAUUUCCUAUCACCUUUUAUAAGUUUCGCUUUGAAUUGUAGUUGCAAUCUGCAUUUGGAGUGAAUCCAGGAAGCUUGAAUAAUAAUGUAAUCCCCGGUGGAGCUGCUCUUCACAUAGGGAGUAGGAUAAAUGAAAUGCUACAUACAGAUUCCUGACAAUAUAUUCAUCCUGGUAACUCAGAGCUGAUGAAUUAUAGCAAGGCCACUCCUAAGGACAUCCUUUUACCUCCGUGGUGUACAUCAUAAUUUCAGGAAGAAAAACAAAACCCCAGCUUACAAAAGAAAUAAAGCCAUCCCUGAUUGAAAAGCAGUACCUUAAAAAUAUUUGUUGAAAGGAAAUAUUUGUUUUGCUGCAGGCAGAAUGAGGGGUAGAGAAUAGAAGACUAAAGGAGACAGGAGAAGAAACCGUUACCCUUUGCUGAGCUCGCUGGCCAUCUUUAAAGCUCUUGAACAUUUUAGCAGUUCCACAUCUUUUUUUUUUUUUUCUUGUGCGCUUGUCUUAUUUUCAUAAGGAAAUUUCUCCUCUUGUCUGGAGCCAGCAUUAUGUAGCUGAAAUCUUGGAUGAUGUGAUUUUAAGAUCAAAUAAGCCCUAAUAAGGGCUACAGAAAAGCACGAAGGGAAUUGGAACAGGAGGGAGUAGCCAGGACAAGUGAAAUAUCACCGAGGACACUGAACCUCCCCGCUCUGAGCACUGGCUCCUGGAGGCUGUUUGGUGAGGUAUUUACAGAUGCAAUAUUUCUGUCAUUCUCCUCCCUUAUUGCACCCUUUAUUCCUUUAAUGGGUGAAUUAGCCUUAAGUUCUUGUUAAAGCUAUUCCUUUUGGAAGAGAAAAUGAUGUACAUCAUUAUAACCAGGCAAACGGCCACUGGAGCCCAUGUCACCUUCAAGGAUGCUUUUCCUUGGGGAUGCGACUUUCACCAGCAGCCACAAUGUGAGUUCCUUGGCUCACACUUUGUUUCCUUUUUGUGCAUCUGAGUAUAACCUGGAGGGAUGAAGGGAAGAGAGAGUUUAGGGUGUACCCAGUUACACCAGGACCGAGGGAGCAUCCUUUACUGUUGGCGAGAGGAAGGGAUUUACAGGUCAGCUAUUCCAUGCUUUCCAUUUCACAGACAGAUAAACUGGGGCCCUGGGCAGCUUAGUGAAUUGCACAGGACUAAGCAGGAAGUUAGCGGUGGAACAGUUUCACUCCCUUAGGCGGCCCUGAGGAGGAAGCGGCUGGGAAGUGGAGACUGAGAGGGGCCUGAGAGGACAGUUAAGGUCCUUGCUCCUCAGAGAGGAGUUCUUGGACCGCAG
rnacentral:lncRNA from 1 species